GCAGUGAUUGGCCCUCGGGGAUCACACGGGGCAGUGCAGCGCGGCGCGAGCCCAACCACGCGGAGCGUCUGGCUGCCGGAAGCCAGUACCUGGCUGAGAAAGACGGAAGGUCCUUUGCGUUCCUGGGACCUGGGCCGUCGGGCUGUACACGUACUCCCCUGGCGCUGGGGACUUCAGAAAGCCCAAUUGGGCCUCUUAUUCUCCGUAAGACGAGGUGGUGAGAAACGAGAUGGGGGUCUCAAAGCUCCCGGUUUCUCUGACUUAACUCCUAUUUCCUCUCGCUUUUACUUUGAAAGUCACACUUUGGCCAAGAGGAAAUAAAUGUUGACUGGUCAAUGUUCUUUCCUCUGAAACAACCUGGGGUGUGGUGGGAAUAGAACGUGAACUUCAGAUUAGAAUGAUCAGUUUCAGGUUCCUCCAGCACCCUGGAACCGAAUGUCUUGGUUCUGCAAAAUCAGCUUUCUGCUUUAUCUCUGACCCUAAGACUCAGAAUAUAGGAAGAACAAAAAGAAACUGCCACCUUUAAAUAGUUACAAGGCUUUGGGGACUACUUUAGUUCAAGUUAAUGUUAAAUUUUAAACCCAGGGAUUUAAUUCAGUUUUCCUGUUACAAAGAGUGUUAAUACUAACAAUCCCACUUGUAAGGAUUACUGAAAGCAAAUUUAUGUAGACAUACUUUCCAAAAUACUAAAAAAAUGUUUUACUAUGUUGUGAAGAACCACAGAACUAAACAAGUCAAUCUAGAUCACACUCUCAAUUAGGUCAUCAUGAGACACGUUUCAGGAUUUCCAGCUUCACUUUACAAGGGCACUGUUACCACAUAUCUCUGCCAGUUUAAAUACCAAGUUUACUUUUAUAACACUAGUGAAAAAUGUGUGCUUACUGCACAUCACGGUCAGUGCUUUAUGCCCAUCGUCACAUUUACUCCCCAAGAGAGGGCCUUAACAAUGUCUACCUGGUCAUACUUCCACAAAAUUUGCAGAAAAUAUCUAAAUUGCCAUUGGUUAAGUUGUAAUUGAGUUAAUCCUUGCAAACUGACUACAAAGUGCUUACACAGAGUUAAGUACUACUUAUCUGAUAUGUGCACCUAAUUGGGUUAUUUCAGGUAUUAGCAUAUCUCUGUAAUGUAAUUUGUGUUUCUCUUAUCCCACUAAGCCAGUAUUUCCUAUCUGGACAGAACGCUAGUUGUUACCCCAGGCUUUUUUUCCAUGUCUUCUGUAGUAAUUUUUCUGUUGGGCACAUGACUGCACAAGCAACGACUAUUAUUUUCUAGCUUUCUUUGAAGCUAAAUAUAGUCUCAAGACAAAAAAAAAGCUG